AUGAACGCUAGCGACAGGCCUAACACAUGCAAGUCGAGGGGCAGCACAAGGAGCAAUCUGAGGUGGCGACCGGCGCACGGGUGAGUAACACGUAUGCAACCUGCCUGUAAGCGGGGAAUAACCCGUUGAAAGACGGACUAAUACCGCAUAAUACUAAAUUACUGCAUGGGUAAUUUAUUUAAACAUUUAUGGCUUACAGAUGGGCAUGCGCAUGAUUAGCUAGUUGGAGAGGUAACGGCUCCCCAAGGCAACGAUCAUUAGGGGUUCUGAGAGGAAGGUCCCCCACACUGGUACUGAGACACGGACCAGACUCCUACGGGAGGCAGCAGUGAGGAAUAUUGGUCAAUGGACGAGAGUCUGAACCAGCCAAGUCGCGUGCAGGAAGAAUGUCCUAUGGAUUGUAAACUGCUUUUGCAGGGGAAUAAAGUGCAUCACGUGUGAUGUUUUGUAUGUACUCUGCGAAUAAGGAUCGGCUAACUCCGUGCCAGCAGCAGC
rnacentral:rRNA from 1 species